UACGGAGGGAGCUAGCGUUGUUCGGAAUUACUGGGCGUAAAGCGCGCGUAGGCGGCUUUGUAAGUUAGAGGUGAAAGCCCGGGGCUCAACCCCGGAACUGCCUUUAAAACUGCAUCGCUUGAAUCCGGGAGAGGUGAGUGGAAUUCCGAGUGUAGAGGUGAAAUUCGUAGAUAUUCGGAAGAACACCAGUGGCGAAGGCGGCUCACUGGACUGGUAUUGACGCUGAGGUGCGAAAGCGUGGGGAGCAAACAGG
rnacentral:rRNA from 1 species